AUUGUUAGUUGCCAUCAUUCAGUUGGGCACUCUAGCGAGACUGCCGGUAAUAACCGGAGAAGUGGGGAUGACGUCAAAUCAUCAUGCCCCUUAUGACCUGGGCUACACACGUGCUACAAUGGUUGGUACAACGAGUUGCGAGUCGGUGACGGCGAGCUAAUCUCUUAAAGCCAAUCUCAGUUCGGAUUGUAGGCUGCAACUCGCCUACAUGAAGUCGGAAUCGCUAGUAAUCGCGGAUCAGCACGCCGCGGUGAAUACGUUCCCGGGCCUU
rnacentral:rRNA from 1 species